AAUAUUGCGCAAUGGAUGAAACUCUGACGCAGCGACGCCGCGUGAGCGAUGAAGGUCUUCGGAUCGUAAAGCUCUCUCUUUUGGGAAGAAGAUCGAAAGAUUUGACGGUACCCGAGGUGGAAGCGCCGGCUAACUACGUGCCAGCAACCGCGGUAAUACGUAGGGGGCAAGGGUUGUCCGGAAUUAAUUGGCGUAAAGGGUGCGUAGGCGGCUUUUUAAGUCAGAUGCGAAAGACCACGGCUUAACCGUGGGGUUGCAUUUGGAACUGAAAGACUUGAGUUAAGGAGAGGAAAGUGGAAUUCCUAGUGGAGGGGUGAAAUGCGUGGAUAGUAGGAGGAAUACCAGUGGCGAAGGCGACUUGCUGGACUUAUACUGACGCUGAGGAACGAAAGCGUGGGGAGCAAACG
rnacentral:rRNA from 1 species